ensembl:lncRNA
GGUGUGGACACCCAACACUGUGAACACAAUAACUCAUGAAUGAGGCAACACAGGAUUUUCAAAUUGAUAUCAAAGGUGUAUUUAUCUGGAGGCUGAGGACAAAAACUGUGAGCCACCGGCAAUUUUUACACACCAAGGAAAAGUGUUAGAAUUAAGAUGUUACUGACAAUCAUGACUAAUAAUGUCUUUAUUUGCAGAAAAAUCAGCCUCUGCAGCAGCUGAAUAUGUCAUUUAUUCUGAAGUCAAGUCACAACCAGCUCUUGAUUACAGCCUGUUGUAUGCAGAGGUCUCCCACAACA